rnacentral:tRNA from 1 species
ACAUUGAUGGUUCAUUGGUAGAAUUCUCACCUUCCACGUGGGAGAUCCAGGUUAGAUUCCUGGUCAAUACA